CUUGUUGGUCAAGUUCCAGACCUACAAUUGGGAAGUCUCCUCUGUUCCUUUCCUCUCCAGAGCUGGGCUACCCCCCGCCAAACAGGAGGCCCUCUUGCCCAACACUCUCCUUCUGACCUGGCUCUGAACGUGAAGACACAGGUCUUUCCGUCCCAGGCUCUAGAAAAAGUACAGUAUCACCUCUGGUCCUUCUUUUCACCUUUUCUUCUUGAGAACAAACACAGCCCCUUCUUGGUUGGUGAUAACAGGAGACGGUGACGUUCGCCAAGCACUUUCUGUGGACCAGGUACAAUUUUGGGCCUCGGUAUGUAUAAACGCGCUUCCUUCUCUCACCCAUAUGAGAGGUGUACUAGGACCCUCCGCAUUUCACAGGCAGAAACACGAGGCGCACAGGUUAGGGACUUCCCCAGGGUCUCCUCGCCAUCAGAUUGCAGAGCCAGGACAUGUGCCCCUGUGGGAGACCAGCGCUGCCUCUACGCGGGGCUGUUGGGAGCUGCUCCCGUGGAAGACCCCCCACAGCUUACAGCGCCUCGCCCCUUAGAUCCCCCUUUCCAGAGUGACCUUUGGGAACUGCACAUUGAACAAAUAAGAUAAGUGCACGCCGAUGCAGCACCCCAAAAACUCCCACAAGGAUGCCCCGGAGUAGCGGGGAGUAAUGGGUGCUGCUCCACUUUGUCCUGGCAAUGGCUGUAUACCUCCCACACAACUCAAGGGAGGGCGUUGCUUCCUCUGACUGCGGACUGUGACUCUGAGCUGGCUCCUGAGCCCUGGGCUGGCUCCGCCCCUCCCCCCGCUGUGUGAACCGGAGAGCUGGCCAAAGUCUGGAGAAAGCCCGUUGGUUAGAAAAUUAGAUCUUUUCCUGGUGUGUGUUUUUUGUUUUCCGAUUUAUGGUCUGUUUUUUCUCUUGUCCAGGUACACUUCUGUGCUUUCACAGACUCUCUUUCUCCCUUUAUCUCUCCCUAGAAGUGGACCCCUCCCCUCCGUACCUGUGCCACCUGUUUUAUCUCUCCCACUUGGCAGUCACGCACCCGUGGCUCUCAGGUUCCCCCUGUGGGUGCCUGGAGACAGCUCUCACUCUGCAGCCCACACUCUUGGAACUCCACGUCCUCUGGCCUCAACACUGCUGUGCUUGAAGAAUGGGGGAACUUCAGCUGCAGAUGAGAUGAAAAGGAACAGAAAAUGAGAGAAGAUUAAGUUUGCAAAAAUGAAAAUGAAAACUAAAGAAUUCUCAUCUUACAAACAUUAGGAUAACUCCUAUGAAACACAGCAAGAGACAAUGACAAAUGUUGAGGAUGUGGAGAAAUUGGAACACUUGGUACUUUUGGUGAUACUGUUACACUGCUGUAGAAAUCCACAAGGAGUAUUCUCAAAAUUUAUAAUACAGCUACAUAAAAAUUUUUAAAUCAC